rnacentral:rRNA from 1 species
GGAGUUAGCCGGUGCUUCUUCUGUGAGUGAUGUCCUUCCUGCCGGCUAUUAACCCGCAGGCCUUCUUCCUCACUGAAAGUGCUUUACAACCCGAAGGCCUUCUUCACACACGCGGCAUGGCUGGAUCAGGGUUGCCCCCAUUGUCCAAUAUUCCCCACUGCUGCCUCCCGUAGGAGUCUGGGCCGUGUCUCAGUCCCAGUGUGGCUGAUCAUCCUCUCAGACCAGCUACGGAUCGUCGCCUUGGUGAGCCGUUACCUCACCAACCAGCUAAUCCGACAUAGGCUCAUCCGAUAGCGCGAGGCCCGAAGGUCCCCCGCUUUCCCCCGUAGGGCGUAUGCGGUAUUAGCCUGGGUUUCCCCAGGGUUAUCCCCCACUACCGGGCAGAUUCCUAUGCAUUACUCACCCGUCCGCCGCUCGCCACCAGGGAGCAAGCUCCCCGUGCUGCCGCUCGACUUGCAUGUGUAGCNCGCCGCCACGCGUCAUCUGACGCCGACGACUACAACUACUCGA